UAGAUACCCUGGUAGUCCACGCCGUAAACGAUGGAUACUAGCUGUUCGGGGCAACCUGAGUGGCUAAGCGAAAGUGAUAAGUAUCCCACCUGGGGAGUACGUUCGCAAGAAUGAAACUCAAAGGAAUUGACGGGGGCCCGCACAAGCGGUGGAGCAUGUGGUUUAAUUCGAUGAUACGCGAGGAACCUUACCAGGGCUUAAAUGUAGUGGGACAGGCCUGGAAACAGGUCCUUCUUCGGACUCAUUACAA
rnacentral:rRNA from 1 species